rnacentral:tRNA from 1 species
AGAGAGAUGGCUGAGUGGUUGAAAGCGGCGGUCUUGAAAACCGUUGUGGCGUUCCCGUCACCGGGGGUUCGAAUCCCUCUCUCUCUG